rnacentral:tRNA from 1 species
GUCGUGUUGGCCCAAUGGUGAAGGUGUCUCCUUCCUAAGGAGAAGACUGUGGGUUUGAUCCCCACACAUGGUU